rnacentral:rRNA from 1 species
GUCCUUGCCCUAAACUAUGUAUACUUGGUGUUAUUGGGCUCAACCCUGAUAGUACCGAAGCGAACGCGAUAAGUAUACCGCCUGGGGAGUACGGUCGCAAGGCUAAAACUCAAAAGAAUUGACGGGGACCCGCACAAGCAGUGGAGUAUGUGGUUUAAUUCGAUGCAACGCGAAGAACCUUACCUGGACUUGACAUGUACCUGACAGCUUCAGAAAUGGAGUGUUCUCGCAAGAGACAGGUACACAGGUGCUGCAUGGCUGUCGU